rnacentral:rRNA from 1 species
GUGGGGAAUAUUGGACAAUGGGCGAAAGCCUGAUCCAGCCAUGCCGCGUGUGUGAAGAAGGUCUUCGGAUUGUAAAGCACUUUAAGUUGGGAGGAAGGGCAGUAAGUUAAUACCUUGCUGUUUUGACGUUACCAACAGAAUAAGCACCGGCUAACUUCGUGCCAGCAGCCGCGGUAAUACGAAGGGUGCAAGCGUUAAUCGGAAUUACUGGGCGUAAAGCGCGCGUAGGUGGUUCAGCAAGUUGGAGGUGAAAUCCCCGGGCUCAACCUGGGAACUUCCUCCAAAACUACUUAGCUAGAGUACGGUAGAUGGUAGUGGAAUUUCCUGUGUAGCGGUGAAAUGCGUAGAUAUAGGAAGGAACACCAGUGGCGAAGGCGACUACCUGGACUGAUACUGACACUGAGGUGCGAAAGCGUGGGGAGCAAACAGGAUUAGAAACCCCUGUAGUCC